AGGGAUCCUGGACAGGGCCACGAGCGGCAGCGACUCCUCAGAUUUGGGGGUUCUGGUCCAGCCCCACAUCCACGACCCCACCCCAAAAAUCCCGGAGGAGACCGAGACCCCCUUGGACCGGCCAGAGCCCCCCCAGCCCCCGCCGGACUCGGCCCCGGGAGGCUCCUGAGGGUCCCGGGGUGGCCCCAGUGGGUCCCGACCCCACCCUGGGGACACGAGGGCACCCCAAGGCCCCUCUGCACGAG